UCUGAAUAAAAUAAACCAUCUUGUUGGCCUUCUUUGGCCUGUUGAUCACGCGCCCCCUAGUGGAGGCUUCAGAACGUCCCCUUGGUCCACGUGGAAAUUGAGUUCCGCUGCCUGACUUCAGUCCUUGAGUCCUCAAGAUAAAACCAGGAAGAAGAGGGUGCUGAUUUAUGGGGCAACAGGAGCCACAUCGGAACUGUAUGUAGAGACUUCGGCACAUCCCACAGAGCUCUUGGACUUUGAGCUUGAUGCCAUGACUGGAUGGGACUUUUAUGUGGUCUCCGUU